UACGUAGGGUGCAAGCGUUAAUCGGAAUUACUGGGCGUAAAGCGUGCGCAGGCAGUGAUGUAAGACAGAUGUGAAAUCCCCGGGCUCAACCUGGGAACUGCAUUUGUGACUGCAUCGCUGGAGUGCGGCAGAGGGGGAUGGAAUUCCGCGUGUAGCAGUGAAAUGCGUAGAUAUGCGGAGGAACACCGAUGGCGAAGGCAAUCCCCUGGGCCUGCACUGACGCUCAUGCACGAAAGCGUGGGGAGCAAACAGG
rnacentral:rRNA from 1 species